AGCUUUGCACAGGGGCAGUGUCGCAGCCAAUGAGGUUAAUCCGAGGCGCGAUUAUUGCUAAUUGAAAAGAAAACUUCCUCCAAAUGUA
ensembl:snRNA LOC120098422 U4 spliceosomal RNA